rnacentral:tRNA from 1 species
ACCUGGGUGGCUCAGUUGGUUAAGCAUCUGACUUCAGCUCAGGUCAUAAUCUCGAGGUUCGUGAGUUCGAGCCCUGCCUCGGGCU